rnacentral:rRNA from 1 species
UAAUUGGAGAGUUUGAUCCUGGCUCAGGACGAACGCUGGCGGCGUGCCUAAUACAUGCAAGUCGAGCGGAGUUAUUUUGAAAGCUUGCUUUCAAAAUAACUUAGCGGCGGACGGGUGAGUAACACGUAGGCAACCUGCCCCUUAGACUGGGAUAACUACCGGAAACGGUAGCUAAUACCGGAUAAUUUCUUUCUUCUCCUGAAGAAAGAAUGAAAGACGGAGCAAUCUGUCACUGAGGGAUGGGCCUGCGGCGCAUUAGCUAGUUGGUGGGGUAACGGCCCACCAAGGCGACGAUGCGUAGCCGACCUGAGAGGGUGAACGGCCACACUGGGACUGAGACACGGCCCAGACUCCUACGGGAGGCAGCAGUAGGGAAUCUUCCGCAAUGGACGAAAGUCUGACGGAGCAACGCCGCGUGAGUGAUGAAGGUUUUCGGAUCGUAAAGCUCUGUUGCCAGGGAAGAACGUCCGGUAGAGUAACUGCUACCGGAGUGACGGUACCUGAGAAGAAAGCCCCGGCUAACUACGUGCCAGCAGCCGCGGUAAUACGUAGGGGGCAAGCGUUGUCCGGAAUUAUUGGGC